UUGUGUUUUCCUUCUAACCUGUGAGAGGCUGCAGUGAUAUUUGGUUGUGCAAAGCGGCAAAACUCAUCUGAGGGAAACCUAGAGACGAGAUUACAUCAUCAUUGAAGCUCCACCCACUGUAUUUCAUCAUCAGUGAAGCUCCUCCCACUGUAAUUUAUCAUCAGUGAAGCUCUUGUAACUGUAAUUCUCCAAUAAAUGCUGUAAAUUCCCAUCAGCUACAAGUAAAGACGAGCAUCAGAGCAUCAGGAAGAGCUGAAAUCUGCAAAGACUGAGUUUAUUAAAGAGGACAGUGAGAACAUGAGUGAUCCAGAACCCUGCAGAAUGAAAGACACUGAAGAUGCUGAAGAACAAAGAGACCUGAUGGAAGUGAAGGAGGAGAGAGAAGAACUGAGUG